GAACGAACGCUGGCGGCAGGCUUAACACAUGCAAGUCGAACGGCUGUAGCAAUACAGCAGUGGCAGACGGGUGAGUAACACGUGGGAACCUACCUAGGGGUACGGAAUAACUCGGGGAAACUCGUGCUAAUACCGUAUACGUCCUUUGGGAGAAAGAUUCAUCGCCCCUAGAUGGGCCCGCGUUGGAUUAGCUAGUUGGUGAGGUAAAAGCUCACCAAGGCUACGAUCCAUAGCUGGUCUGAGAGGAUGAUCAGCCACACUGGGACUGAGACACGGCCCAGACUCCUACGGGAGGCAGCAGUGGGGAAUCUUGGACAAUGGGGGAAACCCUGAUCCAGCCAUGCCGCGUGAGUGAUGAAGGCCUUAGGGUUGUAAAGCUCUUUCGCCAGGGAAGAUAAUGACGGUACCUGGAUAAGAAGCCCCGGCUAACUCCGUGCCAGCAGCCGCGGUAAUACGGAGGGGGCUAGCGUUGUUCGGAAUUACUGGGCGUAAAGCGCACGUAGGCGGCUUUCCAAGUUGGAGGUGAAAUCCCUGGGCUUAACCCAGGAACUGCCUUCAAAACUGGGGAGCUCGAGUCCGAGAGAGGUGAGUGGAAUUUCCAGUGUAGAGGUGAAAUUCGUAGAUAUUGGAAAGAACACCAGUGGCGAAGGCGGCUCACUGGCUCGGUACUGACGCUGAGGUGCGACAGCGUGGGGAGCAAACAGGAUUCGAUACCCUGGUAGUCCACGCCGUAAACGAUGGGUGCUAGUUGUCGGGCAGCUUGCUGUUCGGUGACGCAGCUAACGCAUUAAGCACCCCGCCUGGGGAGUACGGUCGCAAGAUUA
rnacentral:rRNA from 1 species